GAGUGAGUGAGCGAGCGAGCGAGCCGGAAUGUGAUAGGAAGUGAGGGUAAUUGUGAUCUGGAGUGACUAAGGCAGAUAGGAUGAGUCUUGAAUGUCUGAGGGAGUGACAGUGAGCCUGGUGUAUGAUUUGGGUAAGGGUAAACCUACCUACGUGAAGGUGGAAGAAGCUAUGUGUUUGAGUGAUAAUGAGGGAAUGAGGAUAAGCCUAUAUAGAUAAAAGAAUAUGGGGAAGUCCAAAGGCGUGUGAGUAGGUAAGGUGUGUGUGACUUGAAGUGUGCAAGUGAGAACACAAGUAAAAGUCGGUGUAUGUCCUAGUGACGGUGAGCUUAAAAGUAUGUACAUGAGAGCAAGUAUACAGGUGAUGGCGAAACCGAGUAUAAAGGGGCAUGAGAAAUAGCCCAAGUGUCAGAGUGAGUGAGUGAGGACGCGUCUGAACGUAUGAGUGAGUGAGGGAAAGCAUGAGCAGAUGAGUGAGGGAGGAAGGGUGAGCCUUAAUGUAUGUAUGAGAGGGUGAGGGUAAGACUGAGCAUGUGAGUGGAAGUACCAAUCCAUGAGGGCAUGAGCAGGUCCGUAAAUGAGUGCCGGAAUGAGUGUUCUGCUUCUCAAACAGCCACAAAUUAGGAGGCCUCUUUAGAAAAGCUGCCUCAUGACACUGUGGUAUUUUCCUUUUCUCCUAAACUAGCACAAAAUCAUAAUCCAGUAUUUCUUAAGUAUAGGAUAAUCCACAGGAAACCUAUUGUUUUAGUAAAUAUUAUAAUUUUGUGCUAGUUUAGGAGAAAAGGAAAAUACCACAGUGUCAUGAGGCAGCUUUUCUAAAGAGGCCUCCUAAUUUGUGGCUGUUUGAGAAGCAGAACACUCAUUCCGGCACUCAUUUACGGACCUGCUCAUGCCCUCAUGGAUUGGUACUUCCACUCACAUGCUCAGUCUUACCCUCACCCUCUCAUACAUACAUUAAGGCUCACCCUUCCUCCCUCACUCAUCUGCUCAUGCUUUCCCUCACUCACUCAUACGUUCAGACGCGUCCUCACUCACUCACUCUGACACUUGGGCUAUUUCUCAUGCCCCUUUAUACUCGGUUUCGCCAUCACCUGUAUACUUGCUCUCAUGUACAUACUUUUAAGCUCACCGUCACUAGGACAUACACCGACUUUUACUUGUGUUCUCACUUGCACACUUCAAGUCACACACACCUUACCUACUCACACGCCUUUGGACUUCCCCAUAUUCUUUUAUCUAUAUAGGCUUAUCCUCAUUCCCUCAUUAUCACUCAAACACAUAGCUUCUUCCACCUUCACGUAGGUAGGUUUACCCUUACCCAAAUCAUACACCAGGCUCACUGUCACUCCCUCAGACAUUCAAGACUCAUCCUAUCUGCCUUAGUCACUCCAGAUCACAAUUACCCUCACUUCCUAUCACAUUCCGGCUCGCUCGCUCGCUCACUCACUCACUCACUCACUCAUUCUCCAUUAAAGACACACACACCUGUGAAUGUUAGGCAAUAUUCAGAGAAGCUAGAGCUAGUUACUGUGAUGUAGUGCUGACUUAGGUUCAGUGCCAGAGCAGAGAAGUUGCGAAAGUUGAUGUUAGCAGAGACGAGAACAGCCAUCUCACGACACUUUUUUGCCUCUUACGAAUCUCUUAAUCACUCUGUUGGUCUCCUUGUUUUGUUGGUGACUUGGGGGUAAAGUUGCUAGUUUACUCUAGUUAAAAAAAGUCAUUUCCAAAACUUUGUUUUGUGUAUGCCUCAGGUCAUCACAGAGCUGACAGUUUUGUACAUGUGAUAUACAGAAGCACUUGGUGGAGCAUCAAUUUAAAGGGACAGGGAUUUCAAAGUGACUAGACAGCAGUGUCCUUUGCAGGAUUUAGUUUUAACCCCUUUUGUUUAUUUGCAGAUUUUAUUGUGAAAUUAAAAAGGUUAUUCGUGUGUAUCAUUCAAAGCGUAAUGAUAAAAUUAACAGGUGUUAAACGGAAUGCUGUAUUCCAAGUUUGCUUUGCAUGGCUGUGAUAUGAAUAAAGAUUUUUUUUUUUUUUAUAAUCCUAUCAGAGAAACUAUUAGCAUUUAUAGCAAUCUUUUAAAGAGAAAUGGAAACAAAAUGAGGUAUUGGGUUUAUGAUAUUUAUGGGCUGAUCAGCGGUUACUGAUGCAGGAAAUGUGAUAAAAGUUUAGGGAUUGUACUUUAAGGUAAGAGAUUAUUCAUUUACUAAUUUAUUAAGAAGAUAACUAACUCUUAUUGAUAUUGUUUAUAUUUUGAAGUGUUGGAUGAAAAAAAUAAUAUCAACCUUGAGAUAUUGGUCUUCAGAAUUUGGUCAGAGCAUGUUUUAACAUUAUAUAAACAUGUAUAUGUAGACAGUAUAUAUGUGUG
rnacentral:lncRNA from 1 species